rnacentral:rRNA from 1 species
AUUGAACGCUGGCGGCAGGCCUAACACAUGCAAGUCGAGCGGUUGGCGGGAGCUUGCUCCCUGAUUCAGCGGCGGACGGGUGAGUAAUGCCUAGGAAUCUGCCUAUUAGUGGGGGACAACGUUUCGAAAGGAACGCUAAUACCGCAUACGUCCUACGGGAGAAAGCAGGGGACCUUCGGGCCUUGCGCUAAUAGAUGAGCCUAGGUCGGAUUAGCUUGUUGGUGAGGUAAUGGCUCACCAAGGCGACGAUCCGUAACUGGUCUGAGAGGAUGAUCAGUCACACUGGAACUGGGACACGGUCCAGACUCCUACGGGAGGCAGCAGUGGGGAAUAUUGGACAAUGGGCGAAAGCCUGAUCCAGCCAUGCCGCGUGUGUGAAGAAGGUCUUCGGAUUGUAAAGCACUUUAAGUUGGGAGGAAGGGUUGUAGAUUAAUACUCUGCAAUUUUGACGUUACCGACAGAAUAAGCACCGGCUAACUCUGUGCCAGCAGCCGCGGUAA